rnacentral:rRNA from 1 species
CAGUAGCCGCGGGAAUACGGAGGGGGCUAGCGUUGUUCGGAAUUACUGGGCGUAAAGCGCACGUAGGCGGCUUGGUAAGUUAGAGGUGAAAGCCCGGAGCUCAACUCCGGAAUUGCCUUUAAGACUGCCGAGCUAGUAGGUGAGAGAGGUAAGUGGAAUUCCGAGUGUAGAGGUGAAAUUCGUAGAUAUUCGGAAGAACACCAGUGGCGAAGGCGGCUUACUGGCUCAUUCUAGACGCUGAGAUGCGAAAGCGUGGGGAGCAAACAGGAUUAGAUACCCGCGUAGUCCCUGUCUCUUAUAC